UUUUAACCGCUCUUCACCCCACACCUCUCAACAAUGGUGGAUAGGAUUUGAAGAGCAAACACCCUGAGCAACCCCGAAAGGAGAGAGCUAUGUCUUUUGAAUUACCUGCAUUACCUUAC
rnacentral:sRNA from 18 species